CUACACCUUUUCUCUCUCUUAGCUUAGCCUUCUCCUAUUCUGGACCUCUGUCCCUUCCUCUUGAUUAGGGUUCUAAUUAUGUUAUGAACCUUCCAUGCUUUUAUUUUUCUUUUAAAAAAAGAAUAAAGAAAACCCUACAUAUGGGUUUGUGGGGUAUAUUCAGUCUUCAAUAUCAUGGCUCUCUUUGUAUUCUUCCACAGCUUUCUUGAACUGCAUCCAAAGAGUUCCUUUGCAUGCAUGCCAUGGCACUCUUACUCCCAAAUCUUGUUUUGCGGUUCAAUAAAGCUGUGGGAAGAUACAGAUAGGGUCAACAACGGACUAGCUUAUCUCAAACUCCAGAUUCUUCUCUAAAUCUUCCUAUCCAAUUAUAUAUAGGGAUAAAAUUAUUGCAAAGUAUUUUUUUUCCUUUUUCUUUUGUGAUUUGACUUAAUUUAAAUCAUUUUCAGAUUUAAACCAUCGACUUUUCAGAUAUAUCUCUAUAUGUGAUCAGAAUUCUCAGAUGCAGUAUUAUGAGAGAAUAAACUUGUACCAAUUGGGUAGAUUUGUGACGAUGAUGAGGAAGAGGAUAUGAUGAUUCCCCAACAAUUUGGCUUCUUUCUGGAAUUAAACCGAUCAGCAAUUCCAGGCUUAAACGAGAGGGGAACAUAUGGUGGUGGUUAAUUUGCACACGAAGUGAUAAUGCAUCGUAUAGGCAUAGCCGUUUGAUUUGAAAACACUUUUCCUUUUAAGUGUUCUAGUUAGCUAGUCCUGUCUGUGCUGAAUAUAAUAAUUAUAAUUUUAAUAAUUUCUGUGUUA
rnacentral:lncRNA from 1 species